rnacentral:rRNA from 1 species
CCUACGUGAGGCUGCAGUGAGGAAUAUUGGUCAAUGGGCGCGAGCCUGAACCAGCCAAGUAGCGUGAAGGAUGACUGCCCUACGGGUUGUAAACUUCUUUUAUAAAGGAAUAAAGUGAGGCACGUGUGCCUUUUUGUAUGUACUUUAUGAAUAAGGAUCGGCUAACUCCGUGCCAGCAGCCGCGGUAAGACGGAGGAUCCGAGCGUUAUCCGGAUUUAUUGGGUUUAAAGGGAGCGUAGAUGGGUUGUUAAGUCAGGUGUGAAAGUUUGCGGCUCAACCGUAAAAUUGCAAUUGAUACUGGCAGUCUUGAGUACAGUUGAGGUAGGCGGAAUUCGUGGUGUAGCGGUGAAAUGCUUAGAGAUCACGAAGAACUCCGAUUGCGAAGGCAGCUUACUAAACUGCCACUGACAUUGAUGCUCGAAAGUGUGGGUAUCAAACAGGAUUAGAUACCCCUGUAGUC